AACUUUACACUGCCCAGAUUUUCAGAUUUUUUGGGCGACUUUUAAGGCAAUUUUUCGAUCGAAUCCCUUGGAGUUAUAAUGAGAUUUUGGGUGGUAAUUGAAGAGGACAUCGUGGGCUUUCCAACGGUAUCAAAAUUCGACAUUCUUUGUGGUCGGAAGUUGUCGAAAAUUUGCCGUAAAAGUAGCCCAAUUAUUUGAAGAGACGAGUGGUGAAUGAGUAAUUAUAUGAAAAGAUGAGUGAGCAUUCAGUAAUAUGUGAAAGAUGAGUGAGCAAGUAGUAAUCAAGUGUAAAGUUCAGUGAUUAUUGGUUAAAUUUACUCGUAUUUAAAAAUAAU
rnacentral:lncRNA from 1 species